rnacentral:rRNA from 1 species
UUUAUUGAGAGUUUGAUCCUGGCUCAGGACGAACGCUGGCGGCGUGCCUAACACAUGCAAGUCGAGCGAAUGAAGUUCCUUCGGGGACGGAUUUAGCGGCGGACGGGU